rnacentral:rRNA from 1 species
AGAUAGGGAAGUCGCUUAGCUUACACCUGUACCCAUGCCGAACACAGAAGUUAAGCCCUAGAACGCCGGAAGUAGUUGGGGGUUGCCCCCUGUGAGAUAGGGAAGUCGCUUAGCU